rnacentral:rRNA from 1 species
GACGAACGCUGGCGGCGUGCUUAACACAUGCAAGUCGAACGGAAAGGCCCUGCUUUUGUGGGGUGCUCGAGUGGCGAACGGGUGAGUAACACGUGAGUAACCUGCCCUUGACUUUGGGAUAACUUCAGGAAACUGGGGCUAAUACCGGAUAGGAGCUCCUGCUGCAAGGUGGGGGUUGGAAAGUUUCGGCGGUUGGGGAUGGACUCGCGGCUUAUCAGCUUGUUGGUGGGGUAGUGGCUUACCAAGGCUUUGACGGGUAGCCGGCCUGAGAGGGUGACCGGCCACAUUGGGACUGCGAUACGGCCCAGACUCCUACGGGAGGCAGCAGUGGGGAAUAUUGCACAAUGGGCGGAAGCCUGAUGCAGCAACGCCGCGUGCGGGAUGACGGCCUUCGGGUUGUAAACCGCUUUCGCCUGUGACGAAGCGUGAGUGACGGUAAUGGGUAAAGAAGCACCGGCUAACUACGUG